rnacentral:rRNA from 1 species
UACGAAGGGUGCAAGCGUUACUCGGAAUUACUGGGCGUAAAGCGUGCGUAGGCGGUUUGUUAAGUCCGCUGUGAAAGCCCGGGGCUCAACCCCGGGAGGCGGGUGGAUACUGUCAAGCUCGAGUCCGGAAGAGGCGAGUGGAAUUCCUGGUGUAGCGGUGAAAUGCGCAGAUAUCAGGAGGAACACCAAUGGCGAAGGCAGCUCGCUGGGACGUGACUGACGCUGAGACGCGAAAGCGUGGGGAGCAAACAGG